rnacentral:rRNA from 1 species
AGCGAACGCUGGCGGCAGGCUUAACACAUGCAAGUCGAACGGGCAUCUUCGGAUGUCAGUGGCAGACGGGUGAGUAACACGUGGGAACGUACCCUUCGGUUCGGAAUAACUCAGGGAAACUUGAGCUAAUACCGGAUACGCCCUUUUGGGGAAAGGUUUACUGCCGAAGGAUCGGCCCGCGUCUGAUUAGCUUGUUGGUGGGGUAACGGCCUACCAAGGCGACGAUCAGUAGCUGGUCUGAGAGGAUGAUCAGCCACACUGGGACUGAGACACGGCCCAGACUCCUACGGGAGGCAGCAGUGGGGAAUAGUGGACAAUGGGCGCAAGCCUGAUCCAGCCAUGCCGCGUGAGUGAUGAAGGCCUUAGGGUUGUAAAGCGCUUUUGUCCGGGACGAUAAUGACGGUACCGGAAGAAUAAGCCCCGGCUAACUUCGUG